ensembl:lncRNA
UUUCUAUAGACAGGACAGUGAAGAGAAUGCCUGAGGAGCGAACACGCAUGUACACACACGCACAAGCAGAGAGUUGCCGAGUGCUGCGGGGACUGAUGUCCCCAGACGCUCCACAUGGACACAGUAAGGAAGAGGUCAUGGCUAUAUUCAGCAAGGUCAUCAAAGAGCCUGGAGAGGGAAAUUACAGAUGCUGGUUGAUGCAGCAUGAGACAAAGACAACCGUGUGUGUAUGUGUGUGUGUGCGUGUUCAUCUGGUGUUGCUCUUGCUUGACUGACAAAUCAAUGGACUUCAGGAGUUACGGUGAGCAGUCCAGUUCAGUGAAUGUUACUGAAUAGAGUUCUGCCAGUAUACUUUAAUUCAUUCAGCAGGACAUAUGGUUCCUGGUACUAUAAGCAAAGCAUUGAACAUCCAUGGUAAUGCUUGUUCGUACUUUAAAAUCGUCACCACAAUUGAAAUGCUUUAUAUCUAUUCUAGCAAUAUUUGUUUAUACCUUUUUGAAAAACAAACUUUAAAAAUCUGCUUUAACCAAUUUUAUUAAUAGUUUGUUCUAAUCUGCACCACGAUUCACCAACAAAAUGCGUAGAAUCUCUUCAGACAAUGUUUGUUUGCAUUUUGUUUGAAUUGUCAUUACAAUUUAACAAAAAAGAAUUAAGCUAAUCUAAAUGUGUUCCUUUUUCCAUAAUUUGCAACAAAAAAUAUUUAAAUAUCUACUUUAACACAAUAUGGUAUUGUUUGUUUUUGUUCAAUUUGUCAUCACAAUUUGCAAACAAAGCACGUUAUCUGCUUUAACAAUGUUUGUUUGUACUUUAACAUUGUAACAGCAAUUUGCAAAGAAAAACAUAAAUAUCCACUAUAACAGUGUUUGUUUUUGCUUCAUUUAACUC